rnacentral:rRNA from 1 species
UACGUAGGGGUGCGAGCGUUGUCCGGAAUUAUUGGGCGUAAAGAGCUCGUAGGCGGUCUGUCGCGUCGGUCGUGAAAACUUGGGGCUUAACCCUGAGCUUGCGGUCGAUACGGGCAUGACUGGAGUUCGGCAGGGGAGACUGGAAUUCCUGGUGUAGCGGUGAAAUGCGCAGAUAUCAGGAGGAACACCGGUGGCGAAGGCGGGUCUCUGGACAGUUCCUGACACUGAGACACGAAGGCCAGGGGAGCAAACGGG